GACAAUGUGGUGUAGUGGUUUGAGUGUUGGACUACAACUCUGGAGUUCAGGGUUUGAUUCCCUGCUCAGCCA
rnacentral:tRNA from 1 species